rnacentral:rRNA from 1 species
AUGAGGUUUGUUUAUCGGUGCAGUUGGUGGCAGUCCAUCAUCAUCAUCAUCAUCAUCAUCUCACCAGUCCCAGCUUUUGACCUUUCAGAAAAGGAGCAGUUCACAUUGCAACAACCAACGUUAUGCUUUUUUUUUCAGAUUAAGAAAGAUGAGUUUCAAAGUUUCAUACAACUUACAGACAGAGAUAUCUCAAGGUUAAGAGGGUCGUGGUCAUCAAUAAGCCCAACAAUUUUGGGAUUUCCAUUGGUGCCAUCAACAACGCAACAAUCUCGGGUCACCGAGACGGAAAUUACUUGUUUGGUUCUCUAA